ensembl:lncRNA
UUUAUAAUGAAAGGAUUUACGACCAAUGACUGAAAAGAUUCCUGGUACAGUAAAGGCGAGAGCUUGCAUAUCUCUAAGAAGAUACAGCGAACUACUUGGAACCAAAAGUUCUCUCAGGUAAGGAGGGCAAUCAAAGUAGGCACACUUAAAAACAAAAAGAAACCAAUGAAAGUCUCUUCUUGCAUUCAACUGAAGCCAAUUCAAUGAUGCAUACAUUACACAGUGAUGUGUUUUAAAAGGACACCUCAAAACAAAUCUACAUAAAGAAUUAAAAACAACAUUAAGCGGCUUAAGAGCAGACAUUCGGCCAACAUGAUGUUCAACAAAUGGUGUUUGUCAGAUCUAAAACCCCCGGUGUUUAAUCUUCUGACAAGUGGUGCAACAGAUGGCCUACAACCGGUGAUUGUUAACCUUUCAUGUUUUAUGGGUUGAUUGGUGUGGUCUGCGUAUUUAACCUUUUCACGCGUGAGUUUCAAAUAUGCCUUAACGGCCCCCCAGAGUGAGUUUUUUUGCGCGUGAGUUCAGCACUCACUCAGAGUUCCAGAAUUUGAUUGUAACGUCACAAUACAUUUAAUCUGCAGCUUCCCAAAAACACCAUGCUGCUUACUAGUUAUGCAUCUAUUUUUUUAUUUAAAUUUUAUUAACAAACUUCUACCGGUAGUAACUGUUAAAAAUGUAUAUUGAAUAAUUAUGAACCAAUCUUAAAAAUGCUGUCCUAUUUCUAAAGAUUGCGGCGAGAAAGAUACUGAAACACUUCACUUGUUGUAUCAAUAAAACUUACGCAAUCUAUCAGGCAAUAGGUGGUGUGUAAAUUGUUUUACGUAAUUAUUCAGAAGCUCUCAAAAAAUUAUAAAUUCCGAUUCUUGCAUUUAGUAAUGGACAAAUGCGAUCAGUGAAAAGGUAGAUUUUUUUAAGAUUACGUUGAACUUUUUUCUCAACAAAAGUAGUAAUACUGUUUUAGUUUGCGCCAUCGGUUCGCUGCUAGAUCUGCCAAUUGAGCUAUUGUGCAUGAACCCUACCAAAACAAACUGACUGGAUUAACCCCACCCCACACAGCAGUAGACGCCUACGCGGAUCCGCAUCCAAGUCGUGAAACCCGCGUGACUGUCACAUUCGUUUUGGCACCGCCCAGAGGAUCCGCUCCGCCUCCGGGCAGCGCGGUGAAUUCUACUGUCCCACACUGGACCCGUGUCGGAUCCGCUCCGCCUCCGGGCAGCGCGGUGAAUUCUACUGUCCGACACUGGAUCCGUGUCGGAUCCGCAGAAGUGGACGCGCCUUUACUGUAAAGGUUGAACUACAACCUCUUGGUGUGCUCUUGCUACGCCGAGACAAGAGUCAUAUCAGUGGAGAUUUUCUUUCCUGGGACACGGUUGCGCUGAACUAUCUGAGAUGCCUUUUCAUCUAAUUGAAUUUCAGGCAAGCGAGGACAUUGCUUUUGUGCCAGUUGACUGGUAUGAUGACGGGAUGGUGUACUGGCCCAGCUGAACGUGUGAAACGGGCAGCUGCUAACGAGGAGAAGCAUAAGCCAAACUGGCCAAGAUAUGACGUAAAGGUCAUCAGAACUUGUGACAACUACAAAGACGCCAUCAGGCUAAUGAAUCAAUAUCAGACCGGCUGCAACGCCUCUGAGCUACAGUCUGAGGCAGAGCAGGAGGGAUAGCUGCCAGAGAAAUUAUUCAGGAAGCCAAUCCAUCGUUUUGGGGACUCUGAUGAGAGUGAAGAAGAGCCAGAAAAUUCAGCUGGUGUAUCAGUUGGAGCCUCAAGCCCAAACCAAUUACACUGGCAGACUCCACCAUCUCACUGAGUGCCAUGCAGCAGAGUCACUACUCCUCAACCUGGAGGAAACUGUCUAGCACCUGACCAUGGGGCCGGACCCCAACACCCUUCAUCACCUCAACUCCCUGCACCUGCAUUUAACAUGAGGAGAGUUACUCAAGGAACGGCAGUCCCUCCUCAACUCCCUCCACCUCCCGCACCGGCCCUCAACAUGAGGCGAACAGAGGCGCCCUCUUCAAGCCUGGCCUACAGACCAACAUGGCGAGGGGGAGGAAUGACCGAUACCAUUCCCUGCUCUGUGGCUGAGGUCCACAUCCUUAGCCUGCUGGAGACCAUUAAACAACAACAACACCAGCUUGUGGCAAAGGUGAACUACCUCAGCAGCAGGCUGAACAGCAACCCCGGGGCCAGAUGUUGAGAUGCCGGUUACCCCUGGAACAAUUGGAGGCAGUGGAGGCAUUUGAAAUGUUUUUAAAGGAACCGUCAAUGGCCCAGCUCGACAGAGCGUGGUGCUGUGAGGAAAAACACAGUGACACGGUCAGCCACGGACGCAGAGGUCACCAAGCACGCAAUCAGGUGGUUCAACCUGGCAGCGGAUCGGGCAACGAGGAGACGUGUCCCGCCUCAAGCCACACAAAUGGAGUAAUAGGAGAAAUAAGCAAUAAACAAUAUUUUUAUUGAACUUCUUGUCGUUCACCAGUUAUUAAUUUUCUGAUAUUUUAGCU